UACGUAGGGCGCAAGCGUUGUCCGGAAUUAUUGGGCGUAAAGAGCUCGUAGGCGGUUUGUCGCGUCUGCUGUGAAAACUCGAGGCUCAACCUCGGGCUUGCAGUGGGUACGGGCAGACUAGAGUGCGGUAGGGGAGACUGGAAUUCCUGGUGUAGCGGUGGAAUGCGCAGAUAUCAGGAGGAACACCGAUGGCGAAGGCAGGUCUCUGGGCCGCAACUGACGCUAAGGCGCGAAAGCGUGGGGAGCGAACAGG
rnacentral:rRNA from 1 species